rnacentral:tRNA from 1 species
GCCGAUUUGGCUCAGUGGAUAGAGCGUCAGCCUGCAGACUGAAGGGUUCUGGGUUCGAUUCCAGGCAAGGGCA